rnacentral:rRNA from 1 species
UACGGAGGGUGCAAACGUUGCUCGGAAUCAUUGGGCGUAAAGCGCACGUAGGCGGCUUGUUAAGUCGGGUGUGAAAUCCCUGGGCUCAACCCAGGAAGUGCACUCGAAACUGGCGAGCUUGAAUAUGGAAGAGGGUCGCGGAAUUCCCGGUGUAGAGGUGAAAUUCGUAGAUAUUCGCAAGAACACCAGUGGCGAAGGCGGCUCACUGGCCCGAUACUGACGCUGAGGCACGAAAGCGUGGGGAGCAAACAGG